AGUUUCCAGGCUAAAGGACUGUUGGGGGAGUGAGAAGGCUGCUGGAGAGGGAUGGGUCCAGGGGACAGCUUCGGUCUCAGAGGAUGGGAGGAAAGGUGGCGCUGUGAGCCACAAGAGGGGAGCUGGGAGGGCUGACUGGUUUGAGAUGGGGAAAACAGGAGAUUGAGGGAGCAAGUCAAGCGGCUGCAGAGGCUACCAAACCAGUGUAAAGUCCCCGAAGCCCUGGGAAGAGCAGGUUUUAAGAAGUAGAACGGCGUCGUCGUGAUUUCAAGCAGCCGCUAGAUGCCAGAUAUUGGCUGGCUGUGGGCCUCUGAGGAGCACAGAGCCAGGCCUGGUAGAAGUCUGGGUGGGCAGCUUUGGUGGCCGCAGAUGCACAGGUGAUGUGUCUCGGAGCUGACUUGCUGACCCCACCGAUUGGCUGCUGGUGUGGAAGGCCACGUUCACAGGAGACAAGGAACCCACAGAGAAAAGGAGCACGCUGAGUCAAGAGGACAAAGGGCCGGCACCCUCCACGAACAGGGACUUCGAGAAGACAGCUAUGCCUUUAGCAAGCUCAGGUGCUGCUGUUUACGGUCCUGGGGCUCUAUGGACUCAUCCUGUCCAGCCCCGGGGGCCACGUCUUGAGCUUUGUACAGGUAGCAGGCUCCCAGGUGGAAACAACCCAAGUGGCUGUUGACGGAUGAGCAGAAAAAAAGAUGGUAUAGACACGCAAUGGAGUAUUACUCAGCCUUAAAAAGGAAGGAAAUUCCAACACAUGCUACAACAUGGAUGAACCUGGAGGACAUUAUGCUAAGUGAGGUCCUUCAGCAGGGCAUCCAGCUCAUUCUCAUCAAUGUAGCCACUCCCGUCCUGGUGAUGGGGAGCAGAGGAGAGGCAGCACAGAGCUCUAGAACUCAGGCCCCGCCACCCCUGACCUUGCCUCCCCAUUCCCCCAACUCUUCUUGGGAGCCUGCAGAGUCUAACCUUCCCUUUACUCUGUGCAGAAGGUGUUCACACCGUGCGGUGCCAGGAUGACACCUAACUGCUGACUUUACCAGUCAAGGCAGGAACAGGACAUUUUGGGGCAAAUUUGCAUUCUGGUGUUUUUCAUUUGCAUUAAAAAUAUAAAUGAGGUUCAAGAAGGAUUUAGCUAACUCCCUGCGAUGUCAGGAUGAAUACAGGGGCUAUUUGAAGUUUAUCCCCCACCCUUCGGUUAUGAGGGGGACCACAGGAGUCACACGGGUGAGGGCAGUAAAGGAAGGGCUGGUGCGUGGUCAGGAGGCCUUCUCACUCCCAACUUCUUAGCAAAACAAUCGGCUCCAGUGCACAAUUAUGAUCUGGCACCAAGGGCGCAGUACUGAGCGCCUCCUGAUUCCGAAGGACAGGGUUGAGCCAUUUGGCCAGGGGCUCCCCUGCCGAUGGGGCCCCCUGCUUUUCCGUCGCAUGCUGUCCUCCCUCUUACCUUGUCGUAAAAUGUGAAGAUCGCAUUGAACUCCUCAGAGGUCAGUUUCAUGCCCUGUAAGGUCCAAUGUAUUAAAGAGAGAAGCAAAAGCCCUG